rnacentral:rRNA from 1 species
UACGAAGGGGGGCUAGCGUUGUUCGGAAUUACUGGGCGUAAAGCGCACGUAGGCGGGUUCUUAAGUCAGGGGUGAAAUCCUGGAGCUCAACUCCAGAACUGCCUUUGAUACUGGGAGUCUCGAGUCCGGGAGAGGUGAGUGGAACUGCGAGUGUAGAGGUGAAAUUCGUAGAUAUUCGCAAGAACACCAGUGGCGAAGGCGGCUCACUGGCCCGGUACUGACGCUGAGGUGCGAAAGCGUGGGGAGCAAACAGG